rnacentral:rRNA from 1 species
AGAGUUUGAUCAUGGCUCAGAACGAACGCUGGCGGCAUGCCUAACACAUGCAAGUCGAACGUGAUCCGCAGCUUCGGUUGCGGUGAAAGUGGCAAACGGGUGAGUAACGCGUGGGAACCUGCCCAGAGGUAGGGAAUAACUGCGGGAAACUGCGGCUAAUACCCUAUGUGUCCUGAGGGACAAAGAUUUAUCGCCUUUGGAGGGGCCCGCGUCGGAUUAGGUAGUUGGUGGGGUAACGGCCUACCAAGCCAUCGAUCCGUAGCUGGUCUGAGAGGAUGAUCAGCCACACUGGGACUGAGAUACGGCCCAGACUCCUACGGGAGGCAGCAGUGGGGAAUAUUGGACAAUGGGGGCAACCCUGAUCCAGCGAUGCCGCGUGAGUGAUGAAGGCCUUCGGGUUGUAAAGCUCUUUCGGCGGGGAAGAUGAUGACGGUACCCGCAGAAGAAGCCCCGGCUAACUUCGUGCCAGCAGCCGCGGUAAUAGGAAGGGGGCUAGCGUUGUUCGGAAUUACUGGGCGUAAAGGGCGCGUAGGCUGUGCUGUAAGUCAGGCGUGAAAUCCCCGGGCUCAACCUGGGAAUUGCGUUUGAUACUGCGGCGCUGGAAUGCAGGAGAGGAUGGCGGAAUUCCCAGUGUAGAGGUGAAAUUCGUAGAUAUUGGGACGAACACCGGGCGAAGGCGGCCAUCUGGCCUGUAAUUGACGCUGAGGCGCGAAAGCGUGGGGAGCAAACAGGAUUAGAUACCCUAGUAGUCC